AGCGAACGCUGGCGGCAGGCUUAACACAUGCAAGUCGAGCGGAUGUAGCAAUACAUCAGCGGCAGACGGGAGAGUAACACGUGGGAACGCGCCCUUCGGUUCGGAAUAACUCAGGGAAACUUGAGCUAAUACCGGAUACGCCCUAACGGGGAAAGAUUUAUCGCCGAAGGAACGGCCCGCGUCCGAUUAGCUAGUUGGUGAGGUAAUGGCUCACCAAGGCGACGAUCGGUAGCUGGUCUGAGAGGAUGGCCAGCCUCACUGGGACUGAGACACGGCCCAGACUCCUACGGGAGGCAGCAGUGGGGAAUAUUGGACAAUGGGCGCAAGCCUGAUCCAGCCAUGCCGCGUGGAUGAUGAAGGCCUUAGGGUUGUAAAGUCCUUUUAACGGGGAAGAUAAUGACGGUACCCGUAGAAUAAGCCCCGGCUAACUUCGUGCCAGCAGCCGCCGUAA
rnacentral:rRNA from 1 species